AACGAACGCUGGCGGCAGGCUUAACACAUGCAAGUCGAACGCAUCCUUCGGGGUGAGUGGCAGACGGGUGAGUAACGCGUGGGAACGUGCCCUUCAGUUCGGGAUAACCCAGGGAAACUUGGGCUAAUACCGGAUACGUGCGAGAGCAGAAAGAUUUAUCGCUGAAGGAUCGGCCCGCGUCUGAUUCGCUAGUUGGUGGGGGAAGGGCCCACCAAGGCGACGGUCAGUAGCUGGUCUGAGCGGAUGAUCAGCCACAGUGGGACUGAGACACGGCGCAAACGCCUACGGGAGGCCGCAGCGGGGGAUAUUGGACAAUGGGCGCAAGCCUGAUCCAGCCAUGCCGCGUGAGGCAUGAAGGCCUUAGCGUUGUAAAGCUCUUUUGUCCGGGACGAUAAUGACGGUACCGGAAGAAGAAGCCCCGGCUAACUUCGUGCCAGCCGCCGCCGUAA
rnacentral:rRNA from 1 species